rnacentral:rRNA from 1 species
ACUCAAAUGAAUUGACGGGGACUCGCACAAGUAGUGGAUCAUGUGGUUUAAUUCGAAACAGAACGAAAAACCUCACCAGGGUUUGAAAUGCCAGUGGACCGCCGUCCGAAAGGAUGGCCUUUCUUCGGAACUGCUGGCACGGGUGCUGCACGGUUGUCGUCAGCUCGUGCCUUGAGGUGUUCCCUUAAGUGGGUUAACGAGCGCAACCCCUAUCGCGUGUUAUAUGUGUCACGCGAAACUGCCCCGCCCAAAGAUCGGAAUGCAAUCAUGCAUUGUGAUUUGUGGGCGGGGAGGAAGGAGGGGAUGAUGUCAAAUCAGCGUGGCCCUUCGAUACCCUGGGCUACACACAUGAUACAAUGGUACGGACAAUGGGCUGCCAAGCCGUAAGGCGGAGCUAAUCCCAUCAAACCGUGCCCCAGUUCGGAUUGAGGGCUGCAACUCGCCCUCAUGAAGCCGGAAUUACUAGUAAUCGCGGAUCAGCAUGCCGCGGUGAAUACGUUCUCGAGUCUUGUACACACCGCCCGU